UCGAAAUUCUUGAACGAAUGUUCUCACGACUCCCGAAGAAAUUCUCCUAGAACUCUUGAAUGAAAACUCAAAGGAUACUAGAAGGAUUCGUCCCAGUUAUCACGAUAAUAUCCUUACAGAAAUUGUGAAAGAAUACUUUCAUUAAUCUCAAAAAAUAACAGCUGGUAUCCACUUUGAAUCAUUUUAUUGUCAGAAAUCGUAAAUUCCAAAAGAAAACCAUUCAUAGAAGUCAGUAGGGAAUCCCUUAUGAAAAAAGGAUUCCCUCUCGAAUUCGGUAUGGAUCCCAAAAGGAUUCUAGAAACAAAACCGAAAGGAUUGGCCUUAUUUGAUAAAGUUUUUCAGGCCGUGAAUUCCUUUAUUGACCGUAGAUAUUUAGUUUUAAUUUCAUAACGAAUUGAAUAAUCAAUACAUGCACCUAGGAUUAUUUUUAUUUAGGCUUUAUCAGUAUUGUCAGUCUCAUCAUCUCAAAUCAUCAUCGGGGAACUAGGCAUUCCGGAAAGUUGGAUCUUCUGAACCAAAAGGAUAAGGACUGGAUUGGAAGAAUUGAAACCAAAAGGAUAAGGGCACGGUUUUCGCUGAAAGCCGAUCAACGGUCCCAAGCACACGAUGUUAUCAUUUAGCAUAUCGCGACGUAUUAUGUGAUCAAUUAUGACCUUCUCUAUCUUAUGUUAUUGCUGGAGGAAUUCGAGGAUGCCAAACAAAUUUCCUAUCAAUCUAGUAUCAAGGGUUUUAGAUUUCGACCAGAGGUUAUAGAGCUAAAUGAGAAAUUUAUCCUCCGGUACACUUUUGACGAAGAUGAUCGAGGUUCGUCUUGAAGAGCUGGAACCCAAGUUGCUCGACUUUAAUAAUAAAAAGGACCCCCAUUCCGUUCACGCAGGAUCCCCGCAUCAACAGACCUAUGUGCUGAUAAGAAGCUAACUGGAAAGCUGUCCUUUCCGCAGCAUGAAAGAAUUCAUAAUGGGAUCUAAAAUAGAUUCCAUAAUAUGUGAUUUCGAAUGAGUAGCCUUAUUGAUUUCCAUUCGAAAGCCUGUCGGUAUUCUAUUGUGAAUCCACAUAGGUUUUUUUUCGGAAUCCUUAAGAGAUUUCAUUCGAAAUAUUUUCGGGUCUCCAUUCAUUCGUAAUUCUUCAGGGAUUAAAUUCAAAAAUCUUUAGCGAUUCCAUGCAUAAUUUAAUUGUAAUCCUUAUGAAUUUCGAUUAGGAUUCCACACAAUCAUUCGGGGUCCGAAAAUCAAAAUCUGUUGGGGGAUUCCAUUUAAAAUCCCCUCGGGAAUCCAUUCGAAACAUGUUCGGAAUUCCAUUCAUAAUCCGUUCGAAGUUCUACACUUUGAGCACUUUUUGUGGAAUUUUGAAAGUAGUAUCCCGCGAUGAUUUCGAAUAGAAUACCAAAGGAACUCUAAAAGGAUACCGAAUAGAAUCCCUAUAGAAUUGCGAAUGGAAUCCCAAAAAUGGUUUCGAACGGAAUUCCUAAAGAAUUACGAAUUUUAUCCCCGAAACAUUACCGAUGGAAUUCCAAAUAAAAAACCGAGCGACGAAAGGUUUCCUAAGGGAUUCGGAGUAAUAUCUCGAAUGGAUUCCACAUGUGAUUCCAAAAACAAAAAUUGAGCCGAGCCCGGAAAGAAUUCCGAGUGGAAUCAAUUCAAGACCUCACUCAGAAUCUUUCCGAAAGAAGA